ACACAUGAGGGUUUAUUUACAAGCUCGAGCUUAGGUCCAAGUAUACCCGACACACAGCGGAGCAGGGACUUGGACCCUGAGGCUAAGCAUAGCAGUUUUAUAGGGGCCCGUGGCCAAUGAGAUUGUAACACACACAGAAAGUUGCACAGUCAUGUAGGUCCAUACGCAGGUGGCCAAUUGAAUUACAUUUUACCCUAUAGUAUCCAUUUGAGCUGGCCUAUUACUUUGGUCAGAAUUGGCGUGUAGUUUUGGAGGGUACAAGGCGGGGUUACAUUGUUAUGAGCCCAUUUCCCGUAAGGGUGUGCCCAGCGGCUUGACUAGGGUGGGGGAGCGCCUUAAGCAAUAAGCAGGCCAUGUGGGGGUCAUACAGGAGAUGGCAGGUGUAGCACAAAAUGGAGUUAGUCCUGCUCUGCUUGUCCAGAGGUAGGGGAUUUUUGUUAAAUUUCCUGGGUCCCACAAGGUCCCAAAACAAGUCACUUGUGCUAAGCUCAGUCACCAAAUCUAAGGCUUAAUACCUAAUCUAAUUGUAGUUGCAACCUUCUCCAGGAAUGUAAUACUCAGUAUAGAAUUUUUUGGCUAGUACUAAUGAGGUAACCUGCCACAUAAACCCUCUAAAGAAAAGGAGGUAAUCUGCUCUUUCCUUAUCCCUUCCCCUUUCACCUAUAAAAGCUUUCUAUCUAGUAUAGCUCCUUGGAGCUCCUUUUUAUUUGCUAGAUGGUUUGCUGCCCAAUUAAUAAAUCAUGGAAUAAAGUCAAUUAGAUCUUCAAAUUUACUCAGUUGGAUUUUUGUUAUUUUACAGAUAUGGUGGCAGUAAUAGUUUGAGGCAAACUCUGACAUCAUUCAGGAAAACAAGAAACAGGUGUGGUACCUGUGAACCCUUUUAAGAGUUCUCUUUCUAGGUGUUUCUGAAGGUCAUGGGUAAAUAAAUCCUUCUAGGUUCUGAGCUUCUCUCUGCAUUGAGCUCCUGAUCUAAUUGGCUUUCCAGUAGUAGGCAAGUCAACUUAAGAUUGCAGAGGGUUCUGCCUGGAGGCAAGCCACUAGCCUUUCAGACCACAAUUCCUAGGUUUUUGAGUGGAAAACCUCCAGCCCUAAUUCUGUCCUGAGAUCCACGUGGGAAUGAACUGUUAAUGAGAGCAUGCAGUUCCCCAUCAUCAACGUAGAGCCGCUAGAAUUCAGAGUCCCCAACUGUUGGGACGCCUGGAUGGCUCAGUGGUUGAACGUCUGCCUUCAGCUCAGAGCAUGAUCCCGGGGUCCUGGGAUCAAGUCCCGCAUGGGGCUCCCUGAGGGGAGCCUGCUUCUCCCUCUGCCUGUGUCUCUGCCUGUGUGUCUCUCAUGAAUAAAUAAAUAAAUAUUUUUUUAAAAAGUCCUCAACUGUUGAGGUCCGCUGGUUCAAUCCUUUCCCAAAUCCCCAGACUGGUGGUUACUGGCUAGAGUUGGACUGGGUCCAAAUUAAAAACAAUACUGAAUUCAGAAUUGGGUUGGGUCUGAUUUAAGCUGGAUCCAGUGGGAGGCCUCAGAAGAAUAAAAUUUUGUUUUAUGUAAAGGCCAUUCCUAAUAGGAAUCUCCAGAAGUAAACAACACAAAACUCACAAAACUGGUGGGUACAGGUCAAGCAUUUAAAAACUGUUAGAGUGCUUGCCACCUAACCCAAAGACUCCCACAUUCAGAUCAGUUGGUCAUGGAAUGGGUUAGAUUGACACUAGGUCACCUGCCAACUUCAAGAACAUUUCUGUGAAAUGAAGUACAUUGUAAAAUCACACAAUUUACAACCCAGCAAAACAUGCCUUUCAGAUAUUAGUUUACCUCCAACUGACACAACUUAGCUAAACAAAUAAAUAAAUAAUAAAAAUGGAAUUCUUACAAUCCAAAGAGUCAAAUGUGCCACUUUCUGACACAACUGCCUAUUUUAUGUAUAAAAAUUGGUCCUGAAGUUGUAAAAAGCUACAAAAACGGCAAAAUCUUACAAAGCUUGUUUCAUGUUCUAAGAACUUGGCUUGGUAACCAUCAGGUUGAGGUCCCAAAAUAGUGCUCUACAGAAAUAUGGGUUAUACCCCAUUUGUACCUAGAUAUGGCUGUACAGAAAAUGUGGGUUAAACUCUACUUAUAGGUAGGGUCCUACUAAACUGCUGCCAGCCCUGAAGGGAAUUACAACCUAGAAUUACAAUGGCCAUUAUGGGGAACAUUCCAAGUAGAUAAGAUCAUUUAGAAGCCACUUGAAAGUAAGGAUUCCCAAAUCAAACGGAAUGGAAAACCUAUUUUAAUUGGCAUAGAGAAAACUCCAAAAAGUUUCAAAAUUCCAAAAUAGCUUCAUUGAAAGAACUGUUAUAAAGCCUAAUGAAAAAUUAAAGAUUAGUUAUUAAUUUUUUAAAAAAUUAAAAAGCCUAAAACAAAAGACUGUAAGACUAAUAUAACUUCUACUGCUCCUUCUCUUCCUCCUUUCCUUGAGUACUCAUUCUAGUAGUCCCCUGUCUCAACUAUCCUUCCACUCUGUAAAGACUACAUGAGCAUAAACAAAAAACUGAGAUGGGGAAGAAAAGCUCUUUUUUCCUUCAUUCUUCUUCCUGCUAAGACCAGCACCCCUGCCUUACACAUGCUUUCCUGUAUGUCCUCCUUGUAAAGGUCAAGAAAUUAAUGAUUUCUUUGGAGUUUUUCAGCACAAUAGAUGGAGAAGUCUAAGGAGUCACCAGGUGAGGUCAUAAUGUACUUCCAAGACCACUGACUUUAGACACCUUGAAACCAAGAUCUUGGCUCCAGGACAAAAGUAAAUUACGGAGGACACCUGGGAUGCCUGGGUGGCUCAGCCUGGGUGGCUCAGUGUUUGCCUUUGGCUCAGGGUGUGGUCCUGGGGUCCCAGGAUCAAGUCCCAUGUCAGGCUCCCUGCACUGAGCCUGCUUCUCCCUCUGCUUAUAUCUCUGCCUCUCUCUCUGUGUGUCUCUCAUGAAUAAAUAAAUAAAAUCUUUAAAAAAAAAUUAUGGAGAACACCUGAGCAUUUGUUCUUGUUUAAUCUAUUCCUGGAUGUCUGAGAGGACAUACACUACUAGACCACUAUCCUCAAUAAACACCCCAGGCCCCAAGCAAAGAUAAGACCCUUUCUUCUUUUCCUUUCUGAGUCUCCCAGACACUCCAUCUAUAUAUGCUUUCUAUAUCUUCAGUAAACUAGUUUCACCUCUUGCUGGCUCACACUUGAUUUCCAUCCUGCCCAAAGCCAAGGACCCUGCUGGCUGGUCCUACAGGACCCCCUCUGGGUCCCCAACUUGGCCUAUUUGCAUCAAAACCACCUAGCUAAUGGCCCAUAUCUACUUUGGAAGGAGGAGCCCCAUAUGGGCCUCUUCAAAAAUUGAUGGGAUACAAGGGGAAUAAUGCAGCAGUUUACCAGAAAAUCUCUCCAACAGCCGAAGUAAAACUAAAAUAAAAAAUUAAUGAAAACUUCGCCAAAUUCCGAUAAAUACUGAAGCUAUAGUCUCCACUUUAAACCCCAUUCAGAACCUGCAGAUGGGAUCUUGGGAAAACUAGCUGAAACUGGCUAAGGGUAAGAAUUUUUACCAGAGUCAGUUCUCCCAGUACUUUGUCUCUAGUAUAAGGUAGAGAAAGGAAAAGAAAAUAUCUUCUGCAUGUUCUUUGGGGAUGCCUCUUCAGUCCAUGAAGCUGUCAAUACUACCAUAAAUAUUGUUUGUCUUGGCUGAAAACUGGUAAGAUAUUUAAAAUAAAUUUUUAAGUAGCUUUGUAGUAAAAACUGGGUGAAUUGGAAGCUGAUAUUCAAAGCCUGAUAUGAACUUUUGUUUUUAGGUCUUCUCCCCUAAGCAAAUUGAAGAUAAAGCAGUUAGAUGGAUGGAUGGAUCAACCUAUGAUAUCAUUUAAGUUUCAACCCAAUUCUUGGAGAAAUUGGAAGCAAUUAUCUUUAUCCUAUAAUCCUUGUAAAACUAGAAAUGCAUCUCUACAGUUCAAAGUGUACCUAUUCCUUUUUCACCAACCCCUAAAUCUCCCCUAUUUAUCUUAAAGGGCUUAUAACUUUCAUUCUUCCCUGUGCCCUACAAACUUUAGGGGAUAAUUCUGAUUUUUAUUUUAUUUUUUAGGAAGGUUAAUUUUUUUUUAAAGUUUAUUUAUUUGGGGGGCGGGGGGAGAGCGCAUGUACACUUGCAUAAGCAGGGGAGAGGAACAGAGGGAGAGGGGGAAGCAGACCUCCCAAUUUGAAGCCUGAUCUCAGGACCCUGAGAUCAUGACUUGAGCUGAAGGGAGAUGACAUUUAACUGACUGAGCCACCCAAGCACCCCUUUAGGGAGGUAAUUCUUAUCAGAAGAAAAACAAAAGAGGGAAAGGCCAUUUGGAACUUGGGCUUCCAAUUUCCUAUUGGAAAUCUUAAGUGUGCAGAAGCUAUAAGGUGUCUGUGUCUAUGUUUGUAUGUUUCCAUGUAUACAUGUUACAGUUGUGGUACUUUCUACCUCUGGAUGAUACUGCCAAAAUUAAUUUCUAAAGAGCUGUAUUUAACUGGCUUAGAGAAAAAUCAAGUACUUAUAUGAAUUAAGUAUUCAUAAAAAUUCUCAAAAAUAUAAUAGGAACCAAUCCAACAAUUUUUCAGAGUCAUGUGAUCUGGAUUACUCUUUGGCAAAUAAAAGCUGGUUUAAGUUUGGUUUAAUUAAAAUAGGCGUGUUUUCAUAGUUACCAGCCUUAAAUAUAAUGCACAAAUACAACUUCUAUCCUAACUGGGUUUACUGGUCAAAUACAUUCAUUCAUGUUACCUCUCAUGAAAUUUGUCAGCAAGAAAAAUAGCUUAGGGGGUACGUAGGUGGCUCAGUUGGUUAAGUGUCCCACUCUUGAUCUCUGC
rnacentral:lncRNA from 1 species